rnacentral:rRNA from 1 species
AUAGAGUUUGAUCCUGGCUCAGGAUGAACGCUGGCGGCGUGCCUAACACAUGCAAGUCGAACGAAGCCUUCGGGCUGAGUGGCGGACGGGUGAGUAACGCGUGAGAAUCUACUUUAGAGAUGGGGACAACCGUUGGAAACGACGGCUAAUCCCCAAUAAGCCGAAAGGUGAAAGGGUUUCCGCUCGAAGAGGAGCUCGCGUCCGAUUAGUUAGUUGGUGGGGUAAGAGCCUACCAAGGCAGCGAUCGGUAGCUGGUCUGAGAGGAUGAGCAGCCACACUGGGACUGAGACACGGCCCAGACUCCUACGGGAGGCAGCAGUGGGGAAUUUUCCGCAAUGGGCGAAAGCCUGACGGAGCAACGCCGCGUGUGGGAAGAAGGCUCUUGGGCUGUCAACCACUUUUCUCAGGGAAGAAGCUCUGACGGUACCUGAGGAAUCAGCCUCGGCUAACUCCGUGCCAGCAGCCGCGGUAAUACGGAGGAGGCAAGCGUUAUCCGGAAUUAUUGGGCGUAAAGCGUCCGCAGGGGGCACUUCAAGUCUGCUGUCAAAGGUCGGAGCUUAACUCCGGUUCGGCAGUGGAAACUGGAGCGCUAGAGGGCGACAGGGGUAGAGGGAAUUCCCAGUGUAGCGGUGAAAUGCGUAGAGAUUGGGAAGAACAACGGUGGCGAAAGCGCUCUACUGGGUCGCACCUGACCACCUUAUUCAAAGCUAAGGUAGCGAAACCCAUUAGAUACCCCUGUAGUCUUAGCCGUAAACGAUGAU